rnacentral:lncRNA from 1 species
UUAGCACAAUUGAAUGAUAAUGCUAUGAACAUACUAUAUUGUGCUAUCCAUGAAACUAUAUUUAAUAAGAUUUCUGCAUGCUUAUCUGCUAAAGAAAUCUGGGAUACUUUAAAAAAUAUGUAUGAUAAAUCUCAGAUUAGCUCACAUGUGCUUCAAUUACAUACUAACAGUGAGACUGCAGAAUCUCCCUUAUCAGCCGAGUCGACUCCCAGUUUGUCCGAGUCGACUCCUAGAGGAAAACAGUCUGAAAGGCAGAAACUCAGAUUUUCAGACCCUGUCAGCGAGUCGACUCC